rnacentral:rRNA from 1 species
UGGGGAAUAUUGCACAAUGGGCGAAAGCCUGAUGCAGCCAUGCCGCGUGUGUGAAGAAGGCCUUAGGGUUGUAAAGCACUUUCAGCGAGGAGGAAAGGGGGUAAGUUAAUACCUUAUCUCUGUGACGUUACUCGUAGAAGAAGCACCGGCUAACUCCGUGCCAGCAGCCGCGGUAAUACGGAGGGUGCGAGCGUUAAUCGGAAUUACUGGGCGUAAAGCGUGCGUAGGCGGCUACUUAAGUUGGAUGUGAAAGCCCUGGGCUCAACCUGGGGACUGCAUCCAAAACUGGGUGGCUAGAGUGCGAGAGAGGAGUGUGGAAUUUCCUGUGUAGCGGUGAAAUGCGUAGAUAUAGGAAGGAACACCAGUGGCGAAGGCGACACUCUGGCUUGACACUGACGCUGAGGUACGAAAGCGUGGGGAGCAAACAAGAUUAGAUACCCUGGUAGUCCACGCCGUAAACGAUGUCUACUAGUUGUCGGUUGUCUUGUACGACUGGUAACGCAGCUAACGCGAUAAGUAGACCGCCUGGGGAGUACGGCCGCAAGGUUA